GCGACAGCACUGACCUAGCACGUUGACCAAUCCGUCGAUUUGAUCCCUCUCUCCCCCUCUCUCUCCUCCUCUCUCAUUGAACAUACCAAACUCAUCUUCUCACGUCUCUUCUCCCCAGUAUAAAUCUCAAGAUCACCCAUAGUUCAUAAUAAUUUUAAUCAGCAGAGAGCGACUGGAAUGGGGAAGAUGUAUGUGAGCACGUUGCCGCCUCCAGAUUUGAACAAGAACACGGAGUGGUUCAUGUACCCGGGUGUGUGGAGCACCUACAUCUUCAUCCUCUUCUUCUCCUGGCUCCUCGUUCUCUCCAUCUUAGGAUGCAGCCCUGGCUUCGCUUGGACCAUCGUCAACCUCUCCCACUUCCUUGUUACCUACCACUUCUUUCAUUGGAAGAAAGGAACGCCCUUUGCUGAAGAUCAGGGUGUCUAUAAUACUUUAACUUGGUGGGAACAGAUGGAUAAUGGCAAGCAGCUUACUCGUAACCGGAAGUUUUUGACUCUCGUUCCUGUAGUCCUGUACUUGAUUGCUUCACACACAACUGAUUAUCAGAAUCCUAUGCUUUUCUUUAACACUGUAGCAGUGUUGGUACUGGUUAUCGCAAAGUUCCCGAACAUGCACAAGGUCCGCAUAUUUGGAAUCAAUUCAGGCCAAUGAGCGUAUAUCAAAUAUACAAGAUACCCUCAACAAUAUCGUUUUAUUUGUUACACCCUUGUAUACUUGCAAUCGGAAGGGGUUUGAGCAUAGGAGCGACAGGGGAAAGGCAUACUAAAUGUUCUACCAGAUGUCUUGUGGAGUGUAUACAGAACUUAAGGAAACAAUACUUAUGUUUAACUUCCGUCUGUUUGUCACACUGGUUGCUAUGACAUUGAUAUUCAUAUCGUACAAUUAUAUUUUUCUCGUUCAUAGUAGA